AUUGAACGCUGGCGGCAGGCCUAACACAUGCAAGUCGAACGGUAACAGGAAGAAGCUUGCUUCUUUGCUGACGAGUGGCGGACGGGUGAGUAAUGUCUGGGAAACUGCCUGAUGGAGGGGGAUAACUACUGGAAACGGUAGCUAAUACCGCAUAACGUCGCAAGACCAAAAAGGGGGACCUUCGGGCCUCUUGCCAUCGGAUGUGCCCAGAUGGGAUUAGCUAGUAGGUGGGGCAACGGCUCACCUAGGCGACGAUCCCUAGCUGGUCUGAGAGGAUGACCAGCCACACUGGAACUGAGACACGGUCCAGACUCCUACGGGAGGCAGCAGUGGGGAAUAUUGCACAAUGGGCGCAAGCCUGAUGCAGCCAUGCCGCGUGUAUGAAGAAGGCCUUCGGGUUGUAAAGUACUUUCAGCGGGGAGGAAGGGAGUAAAGUUAAUACCUUUGCUCAUUGACGUACCCGCA
rnacentral:rRNA from 1 species